rnacentral:rRNA from 1 species
AGUGAACGCUGGCGGUAGGCCAACCCAUGCCAGUCGAACGGCAGCACAGUAAGAGCUUGCUCUUACGGGUGGCGAGUGGCGGACGGGUGAGGAAUACAUCGGAAUCUACUUUUUCGUGGGGGAUAACGUAGGGAAACUUACGCUAAUACCGCAUACGACCUACGGGUGAAAGCAGGGGAUCUUCGGACCUUGCGCGAUUGAAUGAGCCGAUGUCGGAUUAGCUAGUUGGCGGGGUAAAGGCCCACCAAGGCGACGAUCCGUAGCUGGUCUGAGAGGAUGAUCAGCCACACUGGAACUGAGACACGGUCCAGACUCCUACGGGAGGCAGCAGUGGGGAAUAUUGGACAAUGGGCGCAAGCCUGAUCCAGCCAUACCGCGUGGGUGAAGAAGGCCUUCGGGUUGUAAAGCCCUUUUGUUGGGAAAGAAAAGCAGCAGGUUAAUACCCCGCUGUUCUGACGGUACCCAAAGAAUAAGCACCGGCUAACUUCGUG